CUGUGUCACGCGCGCCCGUCACGCGCAAGGCCCACUCGUCUGCCACUGGGCUUCCGGCUGUGGCCUGGGCGGCGACCCAGGCCGGGAGGUGGAGGCAAGGGCCUAGGGGGUGGAGCUUAGGGGGGAGGGGACAGCGCCACACCUGAGUUCUCCAGGUUAAGGCCUUGUCGCCCUGAACAAGUCAUGGGUAGGCUCCACGCCCAAGCCCAAGGUGGGGCUUGAACUCAGCGGCCCUGAGUCGGAUGCUCUACCAAAGGAGCCAGCCAGGCACCCCAGUAAGUGAAGGUUUUUUUUUUUUUAACACAGCUGACUUUUUGUUUGCAUAUUGUCUAUGACUAAUUGCUACAACAGCAGCAGCCUAUGUUUUACUAUCCGUGUAUAGAAAAGGUUUACCCACUCCUACCCUACCCCUUACCCUGGAGAUGGCCUCAGAGGGAGGCUGGGGACCCAAACUCAGAGUCCCCUCAGGGUCCUUCUCCUGGCCUUCUCCGACCCUUGGCUGCUAUUGACCUUAGCAGAUCCCUUUCCAUCCUAGCAGGAGUGUGUUAUGGUAUUCAUGCAUUCAUUCCACAAACAGAUCUGGAGCACCUGCUGUGUACCAGGCACUGGUCUAGGCAGAAGUUACAAAGCAGAUGUGAUCCUUAUCUACAGAUAUCAAGAGUCACCUAGCUAUUCCUAAAUACAAACAGUACAGAGUGCUGUGAACAGGGUAUAUGGAAGUUGGAGAGCAUUUGACAAAGGAGCCAGGUUAAUCUGGCCAUCAGGGAGAUCUUCCUAGAAAAGGUGAUGGUAACAUUUGAGGUCUGAAAAGUUAGUGGGGUUCUAGAUUAUAGGUAUCCCCUUUUAGACCUACCUACCAAUUUCAAUUCCUUUUCCUUUCCUAGGAGUCUAGAUCUUGACUCAGAUGAGAUCCCUGACUUAGGAAGAGGGAUGUAACUAGAGAGAGGCGAGACAUUCCCCUCUCCAUCAUGAGUUGAAGUAUUGAGUCAGGCACAGAAGGGAGGCAGUCACUUUUUUUUUUUUUAAAUGAUUGCAUGGUACCUUUAUGUAAUAAUUACAACAGUUUAUUCAUUAUGUUAUUGAAUGUAAUUGAUUCAUUUGUAAACAUUCAGCAAAUACUUACCAAACAUCUGCUAUGUGCCAGGCACUGUUCUAGGUCUUAGGGAUACAGCCGUAAACAAGACAGAUAAAAAUCCCUGCCCUGGUGGAGCUUCUGACAUUCUAGUACAGGAGGCAGUAAAUAAUGUAUUGGUUGUGUUAAGUGGUGACCAUCACCAUGGAGAAAAAUAAAGCAGGAGCAGGUGGCAGACCAUUUGAAAUAGGGAGAUAAGAGAAGGCCUUCCUGAGAAGGUAACAGUUUGAGCAGAGAGCUGAGGAUCUGUGUGGGUGUCUGGGGGGAAGCAUGCAUUGAUGGAACAUCAAGACGCCUGCCAUAAAAUUCGAAUCAAUAGCAUUCUCAAGUCAUGAAAUUCUAAGUAAUAGAAUUCUGGGGCUAAUCAAUACUUCUCUGGUGCCAUAAAAUUCUAAUCAAUAGCAUUCUCUGGUUGUGAAAUUCUAACUAAUAAAACUCUGAAGCCAUGAAAUUCUAAUCAAUUAGGAAAUCUCCCCAGGGUGCCUGGCUGGCUCAGUCAGCAUAACAUGUGACCCAUGAGCUUGGGGUCCUGAGUUCAAUCCCCACGUUGGGUGUAGGGCUUACUUAAAAAUCAAUCAUUCAGUCUGGAAACCUACAUGUGAAAGCAGCUGGGGAGCAAAAAUCUCGGUGAUCAGUGGGAGUUAACCAAGUGAAGGGAGGAAUAAUGCCUAGGAAGAGGGAACAAAUAGCAUGUACAAGGGUCCUGUGGCAGGAAGGUAGAGAGGUUGGGAGCUGGAACCUUCUCCUUACCCAGCCAAUUGGUAAGGCAAACAGUCACAAAGGUAUGUGUCUCUACCUUUGAGCCAUGACAUCAGAGUUUCAGCAGCAGGGAAGCUGGUAAAAAUAACAUGCAUAGAUGCAAUUUGUAAUCUCAGGGUCCUGAGUUCAAGCCCCACAUUAGCCAUGGAGCUUACUUAAAAAUAAUAAAUAAAUACCUUUAUGAUAAUUUGAUAUUGCUAUGAUAUCCAAGCGUGUGAUGAUUUUUUCAAUAAUUCAUUUCAUAUAUAUUUUACAAAAAGUGUCAUACCCAUGUUGUAUCGUGUUUGUUGGAUGACUUUGUAUUGUACUUUAUUUUGUGUGACUUGUAUGAAGCCAAGUUAAACGCAUAGUGAAAUGUCAUUGAAUUUGAAAUACUGAACCUGCUUUACAAUUAUGUUAAUCUUGUUUUAUGAUCGAAUAAAGCUGACAUUGUGGAAA